UAGAGAACGCAUAAUAAUUGGGAGAAAAGAGAAGAAAUUGAGAAAGGGAGAAAAAGGGGCUAGGGUUCAAGAGGAGAAGUCACCAUUGUUGAAGGUCAAAGAAUUAAUUGCUAGAAACUCUAAGUUAAGGGUGGGGUUAUGAUUAUCUAAGGGUUAACAUGAUGAUGGUGGGUAGAUUAUUCCAUGUAGGUUUUGUGUUUUCUUCUCUAUGUUUAAUUGUGGAAAUGACGAAUGUUGAAUUGUAUGAAUGAUGACAUUGUUGUUGUUAAAAUCAUGAAAUUUGAUUGGAUUAUUA
rnacentral:lncRNA from 1 species